rnacentral:rRNA from 1 species
CAGUCGCCACGGGAAAACGUAUGUGGCAAGCGUUGUCCGGAAUUAUUGGGCGUAAAGGGCUCGCAGGCGGUUUCUUAAGUCUGAUGUGAAAGCCCCCGGCUCAACCGGGGAGGGUCAUUGGAAACUGGGAAACUUGAGUGCAGAAGAGGAGAGUGGAAUUCCACGUGUAGCGGUGAAAUGCGUAGAGAUGUGGAGGAACACCAGUGGCGAAGGCGACUCUCUGGUCUGUAAUUGACGCUGAGGAGCGAAAGCGUGGGGAGCGAACAGGAUUAGAGACCCCAGUAGUCCCUGUCUCUUAUAC